CCAGAUCAGCUGCCACUAGUUUCGUUCUCUGUCAGUCUGGUCUGUCCCUGUUUGUUGUUGUCUCAGUGUUUCAUGAGCGGGGGGGUGGUCUCCGCAUUCCAGCACAGUUCCCCGACCCAGCCUCGUUGAUCACCCGCACCUGACAGUCAUCUGCAAUCAGGAUCACCAGGAAAUAUCUACCCCAGUCUUCCAGCCAUUCGUCGACAGAUCGUCGUUUGUACUUACCCUUCAUCACCAUCACAACCAUACCACAACCCUGCUCUACUGCCGGAUUUCCAUCCCCCAGCUAUACCGCCCCCUCCCUACCGGACUGAGGCUAACCGAACCGUACCGCACCCUGCAGUGGAAACGCAACAUUAGAAACCACACUCGAUGGAAGCCGUUGGAACCACGAUUCAUGGAAGCGUGAGUUGUGAUGCAGGCCAGGUUCAUCUCUUGUGUGCCUGGGGAACCUUCGGGGGAGGGAAAGACAAGCAGAAGCAUGAUUUUAGAGGAAUAGCUUGAUCUCAUGUCGGAUGUUUAUGUAAUGGCUUGGUCUGCAAUGUCGGCACUGUUUAAAAGCUAUACGAGGCGCUUGUAGGAUUAUGAACUAAAAAUGAAUCGUAUUAAAAAUAACAUACAAUAUAAAUCAGCAGGCGAUCCUUGUUUAAGUCAUGAGUGAAUCUGUGCAAAAGUGGGAUUAUGCCUGACAGUGAAUUGUUCACAAGAACGCACGUCAAAGUUCUUAUUUCUGACCUAGCUCAUACUUCUCGUCCUACAGAGAUUUCAGACAUAACUAGUAACAACCUCAUUGUCCCCUUCCAUCUGCGGCUCUGUCCUGCCCAGUAUGUCCUGCUCUGCCAGGGGGCUGGUCCUCUGGAAAAAAACAAGAUGAUAAUAAUAAAAAUCAUUACAUGUCAUCCUCAUUCCCCCAGUAUUUAUAUUGGUGUAUUAAAAAGAAAAGGGGGAAGGGUCUGUGGGCAAGUAUGGGAAUUGAACAUAUCAAUAAGGAUAUUGUCCAAAACUGGAUAAAAAAAUACAUUGAUUAUUACCUCAGCUUCACCAUCUGGAACAAUUUCAUUUGUGCCUGCAAAAGCAAACAAGGCUUUUAAAAACAUAAGGUGACGAAUAAAAUGUACAUGCUAAAGGUUUUUCAAAAAGGAAAGUGAGCUUUUGACCACAUCCCUGUUCCUCACCUGAUGCUGCCCUAUCAAUGGGACUCUUCCUCCAGGCCGAGAGGUUCAUGCGUGGAAUGCUAGAGCAGUGGACCAGGCGGUUUGUAGCGGAGAGAAGGCUGAAGGGGUCCUGGGGGAUGCUGGAGAUGCCUGUGUUGUCACAGAUUAUCCUGGCCAGGGAGGCGUCGCGCAGCGCCGUCCUCUGGCCGGGGGUGAACACGCCCGGGUUCUCGUACCACAUCCUGUCCACGGAAAACAGAACUAAGUGUUCAUGAGAUGG